ACCCUGUUGCUUCGGCGGGCCCGCCGCUUGUCGGCCGCCGGGGGGGCGCCUCUGCCCCCCGGGCCCGUGCCCGCCGGAGACCCCAACACGAACCCUGUCUGAAAGCGUGCAGUCUGAGUCGAUUGUUUGCAAUCAGUUAAAACUUUCAACAAUGGAUCUCUUGGUUCCGGCAUCGAUGAAGAACGCAGCGAAAUGCGAUAACUAAUGUGAAUUGCAGAAUUCAGUGAAUCAUCGAGUCUUUGAACGCACAUUGCGCCCCCUGGUAUUCCGGGGGGCAUGCCUGUCCGAGCGUCAUUGCUGCCCUCAAGCCCGGCUUGUGUGUUGGGUCGCCGUCCCCUCUCUCCGGGGGGACGGGCCCGAAAGGCAGCGGCGGCACCGCGUCCGAUCCUCGAGCGUAUGGGGCUUUGUCACAUGCUCUGUAGGAUUGGCCGGCGCCUGCCGACGUUUUCCAACCAUUCUUUCCAGGUUGACCUCGGAUCAGGUAGGGAUACCCGCUGAACUUAAGCAUA
rnacentral:rRNA from 1 species